rnacentral:rRNA from 1 species
GUAGGGAAUAUUGGGCAAUGGAUGCAAGUCUGACCCAGCCAUCCCGCGUGCCGGAAGAAGGCCCUCAGGGUUGUAAACGGCUUUUGACGGUGAAGAACCGACAGGAUGCGUCCUGUUUUGACGGUAGCCGUUGAAUAAGCACCGGCUAACUCCGUGCCAGCAGCCGCGGUAAUACGGAGGGUGCGAGCGUUGUCCGGAUUUAUUGGGUUUAAAGGGUGCGUAGGCUGGAAGGUCAGUCAGCGGUGAAAAGCUAUCGCUUAACGAUAGUAUUGCCGCAGAUACUUCCUUUCUUGGAUGAGGAGGAGGCCACUGGAACGGAUGGUGUAGCGGUGAAAUGCAUAGAUAUCAUCCAGAACACCGAUUGCGAAGGCAGGUGGCUGUACCUUAAUCGACGCUGAUGCACGAAAGCAUGGGGAGCAAACAGGAUUAGAAACCCUAGUAGUCC